UGAGUGAUGAAGGUCUUAGGAUUGUAAAGCUCUUUCACCGGUGAAGAUAAUGAUGGUAACCGGAGAAGAAGCCCCGGCUAACUUCGUGCCAGCAGCCGCGGUAAUACGAAGGGGGCUAGCGUUGCUCGGAAUUACUGGGCGUAAAGGGAGCGUAGGCGGACAUUUAAGUCAGGGGUGAAAUCCCGGAGCUCAACUCCGGAACUGCCCUUGAUACUGGGUGUCUUGAGUGUGAGAGAGGUAUGUGGAACUCCGAGUGUAGAGGUGAAAUUCGUAGAUAUUCGGAAGAACACCAGUGGCGAAGGCGACAUACUGGCUCAUUACUGACGCUGAGGCUCGAAAGCGUGGGGAGCAAACAGGAUUAGAUACCCUGGUAGUCCACGCCGUAAACGA
rnacentral:rRNA from 1 species